AGAGCUUUAUUUGCAAGAAACCUUUAAGCCUUUAGUGAAUAUUUCACCAGAUGCAAGCCUUUAUGAUGCUGUGUAUUCACUGAUCAAAAACAAAAUCCACAGAUUGCCUGUUAUUGAUCCUGUGAGUGGAAAUGCACUUUAUAUCCUUACCCAUAAAAGAAUACUCAAGUUUCUCCAGCUUUUUGUGUCAGAAAUGCCAAAGCCUGCCUUUAUGAAGAAAAAUCUGGAUGAACUUGGGAUAGGAACCUACGACAAUAUCGCCUUUAUACACCCGGACACUCCUAUCAUUAAAGCUUUGAAUAUAUUUGUAGAUAGAAGGAUAUCAGCACUACCUGUUGUGGAUGAAUCAGGUGUGUAUUAAGAAUUUAUUUACUUACUUAUUCAA